AGCGAACGCUGGCGGCAGGCCUAACACAUGCAAGUCGAGCGGGCGUAGCAAUACGUCAGCGGCAGACGGGAGAGUAACACGUGGGAACGUGCCCUUUGGUUCGGAAUAACUCAGGGAAACUUGAGCUAAUACCGGAUAAGCCCUUCGGGGGAAAGAUUUAUUGCCAUUGGAGCGGCCCGCGUCGGAUUAGCUAGUUGGUGAGGUAAUGGCUCACCAAGGCGACGAUCCGUAGCUGGUCUGAGAGGAUGACCAGCCUCACUGGGACUGAGACACGGCCCAGACUCCUACGGGAGGCAGCAGUGGGGAAUAUUGGACAAUGGGCGCAAGCCUGAUCCAGCCAUGCCGCGUGGAUGAUGAAGGCCCCAGGGUUGUAAAGUCCUUUUAACGGGGAAGAUAAUGACGGUACCCGUAGAAUAAGCCCCGGCUAACUUCGUGCCAGCCGCCGCAGUAAAAC
rnacentral:rRNA from 1 species